AAAUUGAAGAGUUUGAUCAUGGCUCAGAUUGAACGCUGGCGGCAGGCCUAACACAUGCAAGUCGAACGGUAACAGGAAGCAGCUUGCUGCUUCGCUGACGAGUGGCGGACGGGUGAGUAAUGUCUGGGAAACUGCCUGAUGGAGGGGGAUAACUACUGGAAACGGUGGCUAAUACCGCAUAACGUCGCAAGACCAAAGAGGGGGACCUUCGGGCCUCUUGCCAUCAGAUGUGCCCAGAUGGGAUUAGCUUGUUGGUGAGGUAACGGCUCACCAAGGCGACGAUCCCUAGCUGGUCUGAGAGGAUGACCAGCCACACUGGAACUGAGACACGGUCCAGACUCCUACGGGAGGCAGCAGUGGGGAAUAUUGCACAAUGGGCGCAAGCCUGAUGCAGCCAUGCCGCGUGUAUGAAGAAGGCCUUCGGGUUGUAAAGUACUUUCAGCGGGGAGGAAGGUGUUGUGGUUAAUAACCGCAGCAAUUGACGUUACCCGCAGAAGAAGCACCGGCUAACUCCGUGCCAGCAGCCGCGGUAAUACGGAGGGUGCAAGCGUUAAUCGGAAUUACUGGGC
rnacentral:rRNA from 1 species